CUCACAUUCCUCUCAGCUGAUGAGGUGCCCUUCUAUGUUACAAGGAAUUCCUUUUACAUCACAGUGGUAGAGCUGGUUAAAAACACCAUCUGCUCUCAUAAAUGCCUGGACUGUGUUUAGCCACACUAUUCAAAAACUUGAGAAUAGCUACUGAAAGCUGGAGAUGAACCCUUGAAGUACACUGGAUGACAUCCGAACACAUCCAACAGUUAAGUGAAGGACCAAGUACUAUAAAAAGUCAAGGGUCACAGCCUGAACCAAUGGGUGGGCUCUGUGAGUGUGUGAGUGCGGCGGCGCGGUGGUACGAGCGGGGGAGGGACACAUUCCUCAGCUCGGCUCUGCCUGCAUACUGCUACCGGGAGGGGCAGGAGCAACAUCACUCAAACACGCUUAUGAGGAAACAUCAUGACACCCUGUGACGCACUGCUGAACUUUUGGGGACUGGAGAGCAUGAAUCAGAAGCGCUACUGGUCCUUGAAAAAGAUACGCCUCGAGAAAGAACAUCAAGUACUGGCCCAACAGAACCGUGAAGGGGACUGCCACUGAUUGCCUUUAUUGUUUUGACAUCCCAUAUUGCGGCGGAUGUUGUGUAUGCGUCGCGAUGUGCAUUGUGUCUUGGGCCACCAGGUUGCAGGGGCUCACCCCCUACCUGCUCAGUCAUUGGUUCAUGCUGUGAAGGGGUGGAGUGUAGUGGAAUUCCAGGGUCACAGCCUGAACCAAUGGGUGGGCUCUGUGAGUGUGUGAGUGCGGCGGCGCGGCAGUACGAGCGGGGGAGGGACACAUUCCUCAGCUCGGCUCUGCCUGCGCGCUGCUACCGGGAGGGGUGAGUCGAUUCUUUUUGAUAUCUUUCCCUCGUGUGCCUAUUUCUUAAAUAAAGGCUUUGUCAUUACCUUCAUUUGCUCUACAGCUACAUAUUACCUACAAAAAAUAAUCCACAGAAAGGAGAUCAGUGACUCUUUCCCAUGGCCUGAGGAAGCUCUUGGAAUUAUAUGGACAGAAGUAGAAGAGAGUCACUUCCUUGGCCUGUCCUAUAGCCACAGAGACUCCUGUUGCAUUUUCCAAGCUGCAAACUAAGGACUAAGCAACCUCUGCCCUUCCUGCAGCCAGCACUCCCCUGAUGUAGUCCAGUGUGUGUACAGGGAACCUUGGACAGCUCUUAGCUCUCUCACCCACUGCUCCUUUCUGUACUCAGCCCAAACACAGAAACCAGAUCACACAAGUUUUCAGACCACAGAUCACAUGUUCUAGCUCUUUUGUACAACACAUGUCCAGAGACAGUUUAAUAAUACUUUCAUCAGAGACUUACAGGCACUUACAUAAAUGGUUCAGCUUUCUCAGCUGUAGGCACCAUUUUUGACAGAACUCAUCUUAGUAUAUUCACAUGAAAUACAGAAAUGAGUUGAAGUAUUUGUGUCUUUAAAAUGAGGAGAAGAAAAAGCCAGUCUGAACUCAAAUACCUUGGCUUACCAAUAUCACAUUUUUUUUUUUAACUAUUUACAGACAUUUUAAAAACACUACUUACAUGCCCCAAAAUGAUGCUUUUAAACAUAAUUCCAACUACAGUUAGCUCAAAUUAUCUAAGCUUUUUUUUUCCCCCGAGUAUAGCAAAGUAAUGCCUCUCAAAUUUAAUUUACAUAAUAAUUAAGCUAGAUUUCUCUGAAGACUCAUACAAUAUAAUCCCUAUUUUAUCAAUAAAUAGAUGGUUGUUGCAUAUUUUACAAUUUAUACAGAAUUGUAUGGAAUGUACUAAAGGAUAUUAACUAUGGCAUCACUUACUGACCACAUCAUACAAAUAUCACUUGUGGGUUAGAGCUCAUGAGAUUUUAAGGAGUUUUUAAAAACAUUUAUCAAUAAAUAAACAAAAUACUUUUUAUGGAGUCUGAAAAUUAAGAAAUUGAGAUUGAGGAUGUGGUGCAUCAGGAAUUAUGAUACAGGAUACAAAAUCAUUCUUCCAUUGAAUGCCACUGAUCUGACAGUUUUUUAUAAUGCAGAAAAUAGCUUUUGUACCUGAAACUUGUCAAUGCCAUCAACAGAGACAAGUGAGGCGUUAUCAGAUGGACAUAGCAUGGAAUGCCUUUUCUGUUUAAGGUCUAAGGAUACAGUUUGCACAUGGAAGCCUAUCAGUAAUUGUAGCUGUGGAACUAUUCAUUUCACAGGUUACAUUGGUACUGCUCAAAAUUAUCUCAUCCCAAUGUUUUCCUACAGUCAGUGAAAAUCAUAGCCUGAAACAAUUUAAACCUUUUGAGGGAAACAACAACAAAGUACAACAGAAGAACCCCCCUCUAACCUACCUCAACUCUUUCACCCAUAUGAAUGAGUAGAGUAUUUGCUAUGAGCAUAUUACAGUUCAAAGGAGUUUUUUUCUUCAGAAUUAUCCAUCAUCAACAUUUCACUAAUUUGCACAAUCAUCCUAACUCCAUAAGCAUACUCCUCCUGGUGCAGAGACAAAUUCAGACAAAGGAGAUCACCUUCAAAAACCAUUAAAAAGUUGGGGAGAUGAGUCAACAUUUGUAUAUUUUUGAUCUUUCUAUAAUUUUAGAUUAAAGAGGACUGUUUAUUUCCACACAAAAUUGAGAUCACUGGUCUGACUGGUUUCACAGAGCGUUUCAGAUAAACUACAUUUUCUUUACACUACAUGCUACAGCUUCCUUUGGUGGGGAGAAAAACAGAAUGACAGUAGUGAAGGGAACACAGCCCAUAUUCCAGUCUGAUACAUUACUAAGCCACACUUCCACUGUUUGCAAUAUUAUUAGAAGUGCUGUUUCGCACAGUCACUGGUGCCAGAGGACUCAAAAUCAAAUCUGAAGUCAUUAUAUAAAAAUGAUACUGCAGAACUCAAUUUUAACUUCAUUAAAGUAACAAAAUAGCUGACAAAUGGAGCCAUCCACUCUGAUGUGUCUCAGCUUCAAAUAACGCAUAAAACAAUUGGAAACUCAGCCUUAGGGCUGCUGCUGCUGCUUUAAAGUAGUCAGUAGUACUGACAGAGUUAAAAACACUGAAAUGUAACACUACAGAAUUAAAAAGUUAACAAUAAGUCAUGAACCUAACUAAAAUGCAGGUUGAAGUCAAAAGAACAUGAUUAAGACUACAUGGAACCUUGAGCAGUGUUUGAAAGGGAAAGAUGAAGUCUUUUGUUAGGACAGCACAAAUCAAGGACAGCACAGCGUCCCCAGAAUGAUUACACAGCCCUGAAUGAUUUCAGGAAGUUAUGAAAUAAUUUUAGCAAAGAACAACACACAGCACAUACAUUUAAUAAAUUUUCAUCAACUGGCAAACUAUAACAUUAUCAACCUGUUUUUUCUACCCAUUUAUAAAACUGAUCAAACCCACUUCAGAGCAUGUACAUCCUAAAAUCUGCUGUGGCAUAUAUCUUAUUUCUGCAUCCUGUAACUUUAAUUAUUUUAAACUUGCAUCUAAAUAGCUGAAGACAAAAGCUUCAGAACAUGACUUUCACAGUGUAAAACACUGCUGCUUAUUACAGAGUAAACCAAAUUCAGGUUGUAUUUUCCUCUUCAAUAUCUGAUCUUUUAAACUACUCACGUGCUUUACAAGCUUCAGAUAAACUACAUUUGUUAUUUGUUACCUCUAGAAACAAGAAGUCAAAUAUCUGUCCUUUCUUUGAAAGCUUUUUGUGUACUCCUUAUACAGCAUUGGCCUAUCAAGAAAGUAGUCCAGGCUUGGUUGUAGCAUUGCUUCAACAUCAUCAACAGGAAAAAAAAAAAAAAACCAACACAAAAAGCUCUUUCCUUAUUAAAAUUAAUAACAAUAACUAGCCAUCUCUGGAAAACCACAGGAAUUAGAAAUUUUAAACCAACCAGUUUGACAGCAUCCUCUAAUUUCACUGCCUUCUACACAGGCCAUUCUGACUUCACAACUCAAAUAUAUGUUUAAGGGGAAGAAAAGCACACUUCUAAACUACAAGCAAGAUUUUAAAUUAGUCAAAAGUAUUCAUAUUUUAUUCCUUUCAGUCUAUUUGUACUAUUAAAAAUACCACUGUUCCAAUUUCACAUUAAUCUAAUUUAUACAGACUUAAUAAUUGAUGUAGCACAUUUCCUUUUCAAAUAUUGUUCAUACCCCUGUCCCACAGGCUUUUCAAAAAUAUGCAUAUGGCUUAUAGUUUCCAUAAAGUCACAUGACAUACUUUAAGGAUAUCUCCUAUCAAAAAUUGAGGGCUUACUCCAAAUCUGACAGCUUACUCCAAUCUGACAGGAUCCCAAAAAACACUCCUCUAGGAAGAAUUUAAGCUUAUUAGUACUCUUUUACUAGAUUGUUCAAAAAAAAAAAGUACCUUUUCUGCUCAAGUGUUCAUCUAUUUCUUCUCUCAUGCAACACUUGAAGUCACAGUUCUGUUUAUGAGACUGCAAUCAAUUCUUCAGUAGUCAAUUAGAGUAUCUCAAAGGUGUAGGUUUUGGUGAAUAAUAAAGCAAUCAAUUUGAGCUCCUGCAGUCUUGUUCUUAUUUUAGUAUUUCUGAUAAUUACAAAAUAAAUACUCAGAAAGCCAGUUCCUACAUCAUAUUUUAUUAGUGGGAUCAAAGGCAGACUUCUAACACAAGCACUGCUAGCUGAGUUGUCACUGUAAUACUCACUGCAGAUUAAUCAAGAACAAUUUUACCUGCACCAGUGUUCACUGCAGUUCUAGAACACAAGAGAACUCUGCCAGAAGUUUUGAUUUAUGCUGACUGUUCAGUGGCCUGCUGGGAUUCUUACUCAAGUAAGAAAUAAAAUGAAAAAAUUGUUGCCAAUGAGAAAAAAAAAUACUAUAAUUGCAAUUUUUUUUAAGGUAAUGUUUCAGAAUUUCAAACACAAAAAACACCAAAUAGAUAUUAAGAGAAAUAUUACAGAAACUUCAAAGCUAAUAUAUAAUGGAAACAUAUAUAUUAAUUAGCAUCUAAUUCUUUUCCUUUGGUACUUAAAUCUGCAGCAUUACAGUCAUUUUACCAAAAUCAGAAAUCAGACAUGUUGCUUGGUUUCCAUAACCACUUUCUCUUACUAAUCCAAAAUGUACUCCUGAACCCAUAAGAUAGAGCAUGAUCCUCACAGGUGAAUAUUUAUAGAGAAUAAUGAUGGAAUCUGGUCGCAUUUUGAUAAAAAUUGUGCUGAAAGAGUCGCCUGAUGUUCUCAAUGAAGACAGCAGCAGUACAAUUACCUUGUAGUAACUUCUUUUAACACUAAAAACUGACAUGAAAUUGUCUUCAUGAAAUCCUUUCAUUAUUCCCUGGAACAAUGCUUGAGGCAUUAUGCCUGAUUCUGUCAUUAUCACAGCUCUACAUCUUAUUAAUGUAAACCAGGAGUAGAAAGAGAGAUGGUGAAUGAUAUUAAAAUCUGCCAUUUUGAGAAUAAUGUUCCAAAACAGAUCAAAGUGCUUGGAUGAUGCCUCCCAGUUCUCGCAGCUUUCAGUAUCAGUUUAUAAUGUCACCAACAAUUUCACUGCAUAGAAUCAAAAAAAGGCAGGUCCUCCUGUUCUCCAUUUUGGCUCAUUGAGAAGAUAUAGCUCAUCAGAAUGUUGAACCCGGUCCAUUGUUUCAAUUGCUUUAAAGCAAGAAAAAGAAGCAUCCUUCCUAAAUUAUUCCUCUUUGCCUCAUGCAUUUCGGCUCUGCAUCUCUAACACUAGAAUCCCAAACUAUUUCCUCAUAUUACAUGCAGCCUGGCAGAAGCAAAAAUACAGUUAUUAUUUUCUAUGUAGUUUUCACAACACAAAAGCAUUAAAGCUGCUCUUGUGAAAAGAUAUUCUCAAAAGCAAUUUAGUUUACAGUGCUUUUCUUCCACUUCUUGUCUCCUUUCUACACUUUUUGCAGUUACCCAGCUAAAGAGGAGAACGUGCCAGCUCCAUCUAGUUCAUAGAUUACAGCUAUCCUUUGGAAGCAGAGGUAAAUUCAUUUUUUUGCAUUAAGAAGCUAACUGAAGUGAGGCUUGCAUAAAGCAUGGAGCUAGAGCCGUACAUGUGACGUACAAAAGUAAAGAGCUCAGCAAGGCCUACAGAUUCUACACUGGACACUAAAACUUCUAAACACUAAACUUUUACAAAAUUCAAAAGCUUUUAUUUCUCUCACUGUAAUUCCAUGUGAAGUUCUGCUCAGAAUUCAGUGAAACUUAAAAUUUAGAACACCACCAACACACAAAAGCCAUGGAGAGCAAGCAGAGAAAUCUACUGCACAUAGUUUGAAACAAAGCAGAAAAAGUUUCAAAAAUGAAAACCCUAACCCAGAAGUACCCCAUGUGAGAGCUCUUCAGGUCCAUUUUUAUUGUAUUUGAUUCUUCUUGAAAAGACUGCUCAGGGUUAAAAAGCUUAUUCGGAACCUUUUCGACAAUAUGGCUCUAUUUGUUUAAUUUUCAUAGGUAGAAUCCAUCUGUAGUCUUAGUAUUUAACUAUAAUUGGAUGAUAUUUAUUCAGCUAGAACAUUUUUUUCUGACAUUUAUAUUACCUCAAAGGACAACGCCACCUUUAGAAAUUCUAUUUCAGAUUGAGCUAAUAGAACUUUUGAAGGCAUGGAAAUCUUUUCAUGAAUCAGCAUGGUUGAUUAUGACUUUGAAGGGGUAACGUAUCACAGAAAUUGACUUUUUUCAGCCUCAGUGAAAAGGAAUCAAUUUGCAUGAAGAAAUAAAUUAAUUCUAGGCAAGGCAGAUCCCUAGAGGUACAUUCUCUAAAUGUUGAACUCCCACAACACACACAUUUUGAAGACAGCUUUUUUGUCUUUAUGGAGAGGCUAAAGCUAUUCUAAGCUAAAAUUCAUUGCUUUUACUGAUUAUCUCAAUCUAAUAAUGAGAACAUUUGAAGAACUAGAAUGUAUUGCAAUAUAUACAUUAUAUACUCAAGGUAAAUCAUUAAGCGUAUGGGGAAACUGAAAGGCUCUGGAAAGUCUCUGGUGAAACUGUGGAAUAUAAACCAAAUUACCUGUAAUUAAUAGAGCUUCUUAUUUAGAAGUCAUUAAUCUAAAUGCAGGUCACGUGAAGUAGAAAACAAGCAUUAAAUACAAUUUCCUAAGUGAAAAGAAUGGGUAUUCUCUGACCAGCAGUCAGCAGCAAUAUACACUGUUUACAAGAGUACGAAAUAGCUGCAGAAAACAGUGCAUGAUUCAUGGUGAUGUAACAAGUCUGUUUCUUCUGCUAAGAAUAAAAACUAUCCUUUUAACUACCUCCUAGAAAGUCCACCAUCAGUUUAAAAAGAAAAAGAAAAGCAAGUUGUUAUAUGCUAUGCAACACUAUUAACAUGAAAAUUAAAUAGGUUCCAAAUCCUUUAACUGCGGUACCACAGAGGCUCUUUCUAUACAUGCUCAAAUGCCUAAAAAACUUUAUCUAAAGUAAAAUUAGGCACUGCAAUACCAGAUAGUAAUUACAGUCAGGCAUCCCAUCCCAUAGCUGAAGCCUGAGUUCUUCUGAGGUUCUGGCUUUAAAAAAAAAAAAUGUAUGCUAUUCCUUUGUAUGCAAACUUGAUGCACAAAAUUAAGCUUUCCAUGGCAUGGAAAACAAUGCAUUAAGUUAGGCCACAUAAUAUUCAGAGAAUAGGAACGUCAUUUUUGUUCUAUAGGAAAAGUCUAUUCAAAAGCUAUUUGGGAUCAAACACAUUGGGUAUUUCAGUUACUUUGGCAGUUUGAGAAAAUAUAACAGCUGGAGAAUUUGACAAGCCUCUUUAUAUAGUAUUUACACACGCUUUUAGAUAUCAUAUUUUCAUCAGUAACAGAAACUUCUUUGUUUCAUAGAAAAAUGUAACUACUCCUCCACCAUAAAUUUUAGUGAAAAUAGAAUAUGAAAUAGAAUAUGAAAGAGUAAGUACUUGCCAACACUAAUAUUAACAGCCUUCCCUUUCAGUAUACAGAAAUACAAUUUUACAGUCCAUUCAGCAUAAGGAUGAAAGAUUGCUAGAGUUUACUAAAAGAGUAUAAGUUACUCAGUAUGCUCUCAUAAAAUAUCCCCAAGGACUACAGUUAGUCUUAGGCUGAUUGGAUUUGGAAAAAAAGCCUAAAACUGUCAUUUAAGUAAGGCUGGAAAGGAGCUUCCAAAGGAAGAGAUUGGUUGCAAAAGAUUCUCAUAGCUCUUCGUCUUGGGUUAAGGCUCAACUGAGUUCCUAAGCUUAGAGUUGAGAAGAAAGGCAGUUCUUACAGUUGCAGCAUGAGUAGGGCUAGAAGGGCUCCAAACAAGGGAAGGCUGCCAAAACAAAUUCCUCUGGGUCCUGAUUGGUAGUCUUGGGUAAAGAUUCACUGAGGACUUCAGGUUAAGCUUGGCAGAGAUAUUCUAGAGCUUCAGCGUGAGUAGGGCCAGAAAGGGGCUGCCAAUGGAAAUCUCCCCCAACAGCUUCCUCCUCUUGACCAUAGCUGGUGGUCUUGGAUUCAGGCUACAGCUGGGAUUGGUAAUAGGUUUUAAAAAGAGAGAUUCCAGAGCUCUCUCAGAGUUCGUCUCAUAAUAUGGUUCUGUGUGUUACUGUACUAAUCUAACCAAAUUCACAAGAGUUUCCUAUUGCCCUCAAUUCUUCAGUGGCAUCUCAAUUUUGUUAAAUGUCCCUUUCACAUCAGCACAAACAAGCUCAUGGACAUUUUCAUGAGAAUGAAACCCUGAACUCUUUCCCCCUACAUACUUCAGCAUUCUCACAACCUGAGGAUUAAAUUUUCCUAAAUAUUUAUAGCUCUGUAGAGAUACAAUCUUACUAAUGAAUGACCAAAGAUCAGAAGGAAGAAAAAAAAAUCCUGAAAUUGGAGCUAGCAGCCAAUUUUUGUUUUUUAAUAAAACACCCAAAUCCUAAUUCUCUUUUAAGAAACUUAUAGUUUUAUUUUUCACUCCCUUACAUCUCUGUAGAUCAGGAAUAACUCAUGGAGAAUGGGAAAACUCAGAUCAAGUCAAACAUUAAAGAUUAUAAUACAUUACCAUCAAAAUUGAAGCACAGAGAAUAAAUUAGUUUGGGAAAGCAAUGCCCAAUCAGCUGACAUUGUACAGAGAGUAAGAACCCCCUACUUGUUCAUUCUUAUACCUUUUAUGAGUAAUAAGAUUUCAAAAAUAAACUCUAGUGGCGCAGAAUAAUACUUCAGUAUAUAUUUGUAUGAACUAAUUUCUAUUCUCUUCAUAAGUUAUGUACAGUUAUAUUGACUUAUUGUUUCUGUCUCCUGGCUAGUUAUCCUCUUUCCCUCUGUGUAUAUUUUACUACUCAAGACAGUAAGAAAGAUAUAAAAAGCUAGGUAAGAAAAUUACAUACAACUGAUAUUUUAUAUAAUCAAAGAAUUGUUUGAAUUGGAUGGAAACCUUAGAGGCCAUCUGGUCCAAAUCCCCGGCAAUCAACAGGAAUAUCUACAGCUAAAUCAGGUUGCUCAGAGCCCCCAUCAGCCUGAUCUUGAGUGUCUAAAGGGAUAGGGCAUCCACCACCUUUCUGGGCAAUCUUUUUCCCGUGCCUCACCACCCUCACUGUAAAACACUUUCUUUAUAUCCAACCUGAAGCUCCCCUCUUUUAGUUUGAAACCCUUUUCCCUUUUCCUGUCACAAAAGACCCAGCUAAAGAGUCUGUCCCCAUCCUUCUUAUGGAUCCCCUUUACAUACUGAAAGACUACUCUCAGGUCUCCCCAGAGCCUUCUCUUCUUCAGGCUGAACAACCCCAGCUCUCCCAGUCUGUCCUCAUUGGGAAGGUGGUUCCAUCCCUGGGAUUAUUUUUGUGGACCCCCUCUGGACGUGCUCCAGCAGGUCCAUGUCUCUCUUGUCCUGAGGACUCCACAUCUGGCCACAGUACGCCAAGUGAGGCCUCACCAGUGCAGAGUAGAGAGCAGCUGUAUGAUUUCCCUCCACCUGCUGACCACACUGCUUUGGAUGCAGUCCAGGAUGUGGUUGGCUAUUUUUUUUUUUUUUUAAACCUUGCUAAGCUUCCAAUUUCUAAAUCAUCUCAGUAUUUACUGUUUUAUUUAAUUAUUCCUAUUCAUUUACAUUCUGGAAUACUAUUACCUAAACAUCUUCAUCCUUUAUUAUAUAAAAAAAACAUGAAUCUAAGUUGACAACAUACAUCAUUAUGGAUUAAGCCAAAAUUUCUAGAUGCUUUUUCAUUAACUGACUACUUCAAUUCUCAGUAGUCACCAGUAAUUCAUUUACUUUCUUAAAAAAAAAAAAUUUCUCAGCUGUCCAAAUUCUAACGUCAUCUGCUAAAUUUUCCAUUAUCUGACCUUCAUAAAGACUGUUUUACAUUCAGUUUUCUAGCAUGUAUUCAGCAUACUAAACAGCUUCAAAUUCUUAUUCAAGUUUUUACAAGUCAGGAAAAUUAUUAACGUAAAUGAAAAACAGGCAAGGAACAUACAGAUUAAGCCAAUGUUCCUACACUUAUGUCAUACUUAAAUAUUUGUAAAUAAGUAAACCUAGACUCUGGAAGUUUAAAAGAGGGUACCCGAAAUGUAUGGUUAUCAGAUAAGAGCAUUAGUUCUCUUACACUUGCUUAACCUGAAAACACAAGCUCUCAGGUAAAAUCUUAAUGAAGCAUUCUGCAAGGACAGAUUCAGAAACAAUGCAAAAGAGAUGAGAAAUGGCUUGUUCAUUGACCACUCCAUAGAUUCUCAGUAAAUUAGACAAACAUUAUAACAAUAAAUACCAUGUUUAAACUUAGUUUAAGAAUUUACCAGCCCUUUAAACAUUUCCUAUCAACAGAUAUUUCUAUCUUCAUCUGGCAGAAGGCUGUUGUAUUUUCAUUAAAGUGUCUUUCAGGAGGCCAGGAAAGAUAAUGACAACAGUUCUGUGUUAAUGACAGCCAUCACGAUUCUGUGUCAAGAAAAUCACUGAAAAAUCACAGCAAAUAAUUUUCAAGAAAACCUUGUUUAUGUUGUGAUCUAUUGCAUACUGUCCUUUAUCCUGUGAUUAAAAAAAAAAUCUACAGAUUACAUUGAAUCAUGACCCACAGUGAAGUCAUAUUUUCACAACAAAUAAAAUACCUGAUUCUAAAUGGAAGGAAAAGCUUUUGAUUGCUAUUUAGCUAUCAAUUCACUGUAAGAAUGACAGCACCCAUUGACUAUCAGUGAUGACAGACUGCUGGUACUAAAAUCUGAUUCCUGAAAAUGAAUUUCAGGAUCUACUUCACAAGGUUUCAGUUUCUCAAGAAGAGAAAAAAAAAUAAAACAAAAAACAAAGAACUUUCUCCUGGAGCUAGCUGUAAUUUCUUACUAAUCAAAGUAAUGAGUUAAUGUUUGCUUUAAUUUCAGCAGUCUGUCAGAGCUUCUGGGUUAAAUGUUUAUUCAAAUGAGCUUAAUUAUGUAUUUUAGCAAAAAAAAAUAUGCUAUGAGCUGCAAUUUCACACAAGAAGCUUGGAUUUGGGACACUUAAGUGAUUGCUGGAUUAAAUUGCUUCAACAUAACAUAUGUAAGUGAGCAGCAUGUCUCACGUGUUUCAUAAUAACUUAUUUGUAGGUUGACUAACUCAUCCAUUCUUCUGCAAAGACAGUGAGUCUUCUUACAUUCAUCUCGAUGCCUAUGACUUCCUCCUGAAGCUUUGCAGCUUUAUACGUUUUGAAACAUCUUUCCAAUAUGCUCUAUGUGAUAAUUUCUCUUAUAGUGAGGGAAAGUUAUGGGCACAUUAAAGAAGCAGUGGUUCUGUGCAGCUUGGGGCUGCACAUUUCCACCAUUCAGCUACACCAACAAAAACAAAACACCUUAUAUAAACUCAAUUUUUGAUUGGUCAGGUAACAAGCAACCUUCCUGCAUUUCUCUUGCAGAUGAGUAAAGCCAAACCAAAUAAUAGCCUUGCUCCCUUUUCAGUUUUCUUUCUAGUUCCCUAGACAGAAGUCACCCUGAGACAACUAGUGCCUUGAGAAAAGACAGUAGUAGUACAGAGGGGAAAGAUCUAGAGAACUAUCAAUGGUAACAUCUCACUUAAGAACUAUGUGUUAUUAUUUGCUUUUAAGAGAUGAUGGUUUCUUCCUUCAUAAGAAAGGGUAAAAGUUGACAUGCGUUUGCAUACAGCAGUCUUGAAUACAAAGUCCUGCUACAGAUAAUCUUUGUUCCCUAACACAAUUCACAGAUACGUAGGAAAUUUUACAUUCCCAGAAUCUUUUGAUAACAGCUGAUUGAUAAGACAUUUCCUCCUUCUGUUAAAAUGUGUUUAUAGCCUGGAAAGUGGGUCAAAAUCUAGUAAGAAACAGCAUGCUGAAAUAAAAUUAAAAAGUCGCUGCACAAAUUUAAGAAAGUAGAACACUCACAAUCAAAUAGCUGUACUCUUUCUGGGUCGUUUUUCAGAUAAAAAGGAGGUACAGUUACAGUUGUGAAAAUACAUUCUAAGGAAUAAUCCCCCAGUCAGUAGACCAGUGCCUUCUAUGUUAUACUAAGCACAGUAAUUGCACCAUCACCAGCCUGUAACUACUGUGCUUUCAUUUUAUUUUACCACACAAUAAGCAAUAGAAAACUCACUAACUCAGGAUAUGCUGCAUGACUCUGCCAAAAUCUUUGCUUAAGACGACAAAUUAAUUUAAAAAAAAUCUUAUCAAAAUUUAGAUUUUCUUCAUCAAGCUUCUACAAUACACUGUUCACAUGUUAUAUUUCAUAUGAAAUAGAAAUAGUUUGUUGAGCUAGUAAUAUUUAGAUUGGAGUAAUAAAACUUUGUUCAUUGGGUCCAUGCUAAUAAAUGAAGACUGAUUUCAGGAACCGUUUGCUUGUUACUAGUUCAGGCACCACUAUAUUGCACAAAAUUAUGUCUGUACAUUCUGAUUAACUGCUCCUUAAUCUAACAAAGCUAAACAUACUCGAGAUCUAGACUGACAAUAAAGACUCAAAGAAAACACCGCCUAUGAGUAGAAAUUCUUUACUGGCUACAAUUGUUCUAUUAUAUUUUAAAACUCCCAUGCCACACCAUUGCUCAGAUAUUAUUGAGCUUAAUUUAUCCUUUAUGGAAUACUUAAUUCAUUCUUUAUCGAAUACCUAAUUCAAACUGUAGAGAAACCAGCAUAUCCACAAUCCUAUUCCUAAUCACUUCUCCCUAUAUGCCCGUAAGAGACUGCCUGCAACAUUUCCAACAGACCAUUCCUUUACCUGCUCACUGUUGCUCACAUCAGAAAG
rnacentral:lncRNA from 1 species